ACGUGUCUUUCAAUAUUUUUGCAGCCAUGCAUUCUAGAUAAUAGUCUUAACCUGAAUUGAUUGGAGAGCCAUUGGAGUUGAACGUGUUGGAGCAACAUCUGAGACCACUAGAACAACAUCUCCUUUGUUGAUUAAUCCUUUAGAUUUCAUAAGCUGAACAGAUUUUGAGAUAUUUGAUUCAGCAUCAUCUGAUAAAUCAACAAGAAGUGGUACAACACCCCAUUGCAAAUUCAGAGCCAUUCGAGUACUUUCAUCGUCGGUGAAAGCAAAGAUGGGAGGAUCUGGACGGUUGCGAGAUAGUAAUGAUGCCAUAUAUCCAUGUUUUGUGUAAACAAAGAUGGCAUCCACACCAAGUUUGUUGGCUGCAGACAGACACAGACAAGCACAAAAGGAGUGAAUUCAAUAAUCUACUUAUGCAGAUUUCAUAACAAGGUGGGAAGAAGGAAUAUGAAGUACCCAUUUCAACAGCACAAUUGCAUAUUUGCUCAGUGAUGCAAUCUGGCAAUGAUGCUCCAAGUUUAUGGUGAUUGAGAAGACUUUGUCUAUUUUCCUCCCUACUCCAUGAUUCCAUUCUACUGCUGGUCAUAUCCAACACUGUCAAUGCUUUCUGUCCAAAUGAACCGAUAGCUGACUCACCAGACAACAUCAAAGCAUCCGCGUACUGUCGAACUGCUUCAGAAAUAUCUGCUACCUUUAUUGCAUAAAAGCGAAGAUUUAUUGUAAUAGGUAAGUACAAGUUCAGCAUUCCAAAAGAAAAACUGAAAACUUAUUAUCAUAGAUAGGAAUUCUGCUCUAAGUUUACGAUCAUCGUGGAUGUAUAAAUUGAUUUUACCUCGGCACGAGUUGGUGUUGGAUACUCAAUCAUUGACUCAAGAAGCUGAGAAGCUACAAUCACUGGCUUAUUUUGUUGUCUGCAAAUGUGAAUUAUAUCCUCCUGAACUGUAGGAAUCUGCUCAAGUGGUAUUUCGACUCCAAGGUCACCUCGAGCUACCAUGAUUCCAUCAGACGCUUUCACUAUUUCCUCCAGAUUAUGAAGGGAUUCUAAGCUUUCUAUCUUUGCCAAUACUUUUAUGGAUCUGAAAAUACCAUUUAACAUUCUUAAUUUGUGCUAAAAUAACUUUGAAUUAAAGCACUUAUACAGAAGAAAACACAUCAGCAUCUUUUCAAA